CUUAAUGUGGCAGAUUAGUGCAAUGAAUUUAAGCUUCAUAUAUAAAGAAACAUCUUUCAUUAAGA
rnacentral:tRNA from 1 species